rnacentral:lncRNA from 1 species
UGAGUAACAACGGUACUAACAUAGCUGCUAUGUCUUCCAAAAUUGCUAAUUCUGCCCAGUCUAUUUGUGAUUUCAUUGGGAUGCUGGUGAUUACACUGGUUAAAAAUUAAUUUAUGCUUUGCAAUGAGUUUUAUUCACAGGGAAUUGCAGUGAUAAAUAUAUUGCUGAUGCGCUGUCUUUCUGUAAGGCUUUUCAUUCAACCUAUAAUUAUGGAGCCACAUUCUUCAAAUGGGCUGUGUUUACGUGGUCUUUGUUGUGUACCUGCUCAAGUUAACAAAUACCUGGCAGCUGCACAGGAGGAGCUGCAGCCCUCUGCAGUGCCCAGAACAGAUCUCGUGGUGCACAUCCAUCAAACUGGCACCUGGAGAACCCUGGAAAGGAUCCUGUGUCUUAAUGAAACUUCUGACAGCUCUGCAAGUGCCUUCAGAGACUCGUCCCUGAGUGGGACAUGGGAGAAGUUAACAGAUUGGUUCCCUCCUCAAUUUAUCAUUUGUCAGGCCUUCAGGAAAGUUCUUGGAUGA